GGUCCCGAGCGUUAUCCGGAUUUAUUGGGCGUAAAGCGAGCGCAGGCGGUUAGAUAAGUCUGAAGUUAAAGGCUGUGGCUUAACCAUAGUACGCUUUGGAAACUGUUUAACUUGAGUGCAGAAGGGGAGAGUGGAAUUCCAUGUGUAGCGGUGAAACGCGUAGAUAUAUGGAGGAACACCGGUGGCGAAAGCGGCUCUCUGGUCUGUAACUGACGCUGAGGCUCGAAAGCGUGGGGAGCAAACAGGAUUAGAUACCCUGGUAGUC
rnacentral:rRNA from 1 species